CAGGCAUCAGCGGGUCCAGCUCCUGAAAUGCCGGAGAUGCUCAGAGCGCAAGAGGAGCAGUGAGCGUGAUGCAUCUCUUUGGGGCAUUAGCCACAUGACCUUGGCUCGGCACACCAAAUGGAAGCGCUAAGCCUGGAUUGGGAAGGGAUAAAGAUACUGGGAACAUCGUAGUUGGCCUCUGUGGUCCACAUUGAGGAUGGAUUCUGAGCCCUGAGAAUUAAGUCCAGGGGCAAAUACUGUGUGUUGGGGGGUGGUUGGCAGGGGGAGGCAGGGAGUUGUUUAGCGGUUGUCUAGCUGACUUCAGUAGUAGAGCAGGUCAGUUGACUACUGUUUUGUUUCUGAGGAGGGUGUUGCAUUGGAGGACAUUUGGCUGGCAUGCCGGUGCCUGAUGGCACUUUAUUUCUGCAGGUGAAGAGGAGCCUUGUGCCUGAAGCAACAUCCUGGCUAGCCUUUGUGUUCCUUGUUGAGGAUGGAACCUGCCUCCCAGCAUUCCCAAGCUAAGCUGGGGGGAAAGUGCUAUGUUUGGGUUGGGGUUGUGAAUGGACCCAUAGGGCGAGGGUAUGUGCUUUUAAGUCAUUGCAGUGGAUGGGGCCUUUCAGGAUUGAUCACAGUCAGGCAGAAAGAGAGUAUGUGUGGGGGGGUCCUGUCAGGUAGAGUGUGAGCAUGUGCCAGGCGGGGCAGUUCCAGCUUGGUGUCUGUGUUCUUUGUUUUCUGUGCUGUGCUGUUGCUCUUGGUGCUCGGCAGACCCUAGGGAAGUCAUCCUGAGGGUACUGAACACUUGACCUUAUUGGAAUAAUGCUGAUGCUCAACCGGAAGUAGAGCACCUCUUGUCUUGCAGUGGGAGCUUAAAGAGAUCAUUUCUUCUGUGCAUGUAUUUUUUGUAUAAAAUCUUUCCUGAUAUGAUCAUCAUAUGUUACGUGCUCCUCAGGCGUUGUUAUCCUCAUUGCCUUCUUCCACUGGACAGAUUAGAUGGGCAGCUUUGCAGCCACACCAAAGGUCCUAAAUG